rnacentral:rRNA from 1 species
GUCGCAAGACCAAAGUGGGGGACCUUCGGGCCUCAUGCCAUCAGAUGUGCCCAGAUGGGAUUAGCUAGUAGGUGGGGUAACGGCUCACCUAGGCGACGAUCCCUAGCUGGUCUGAGAGGAUGACCAGCCACACUGGAACUGAGACACGGUCCAGACUCCUACGGGAGGCAGCAGUGGGGAAUAUUGCACAAUGGGCGCAAGCCUGAUGCAGCCAUGCCGCGUGUGUGAAGAAGGCCUUCGGGUUGUAAAGCACUUUCAGCGGGGAGGAAGGCGUUAAGGUUAAUAACCUUGGCGAUUGACGUUACCCGCAGAAGAAGCACCGGCUAACUCCGUGCCAGCAGCCGCGGUAAUACGGAGGGUGCAAGCGUUAAUCGGAAUUACUGGGCGUAAAGCGCACGCAGGCGGUCUGUCAAGUCGGAUGUGAAAUCCCCGGGCUCAACCUGGGAACUGCAUUCGAAACUGGCAGGCUAGAGUCUUGUAGAGGGGGGUAGAAUUCCAGGUGUAGCGGUGAAAUGCGUAGAGAUCUGGAGGAAUACCGGUGGCGAAGGCGGCCCCCUGGACAAAGACUGACGCUCAGGUGCGAAAGCGUGGGGAGCAAACAGGAUUAGAUACCCUGGUAGUCCACGCCGUAAACGAUGUCGAUUUGGAGGUUGUGCCCUUGAGGCGUGGCUUCCGGAGCUAACGCGUUAAAUCGACCGCCUGGGGAGUACGGCCGCAAGGUUAAAACUCAAAUGAAUUGACGGGGGCCCGCACAAGCGGUGGAGCAUGUGGUUUAAUUCGAUGCAACGCGAAGAACCUUACCUGGUCUUGACAUCCACAGAACUUUCCAGAGAUGGAUUGGUGCCUUCGGGAACUGUGAGACAGGUGCUGCAUGGCUGUCGUCAGCUCGUGUUGUGAAAUGUUGGGUUAAGUCCCGCAACGAGCGCAACCCUUAUCCUUUGUUGCCAGCGGUCAGGCCGGGAACUCAAAGGAGACUGCCAGUGAUAAACUGGAGGAAGGUGGGGAUGACGUCAAGUCAUCAUGGCCCUUACGACCAGGGCUACACACGUGCUACAAUGGCAUAUACAAAGAGAAGCGACCUCGCGAGAGCAAGCGGACCUCAUAAAGUAUGUCGUAGUCCGGAUUGGAGUCUGCAACUCGACUCCAUGAAGUCGGAAUCGCUAGUAAUCGUAGAUCAGAAUGCUACGGUGAAUACGUUCCCGGGCCUUGUACACACCGCCCGUCACACCAUGGGAGUGGGUUGCAAAAGAAGUAGGUAGCUUAACCUUCGGGAGGGCGCUUACCACUUUGUGAUUCAUGACUGGGGUGAAGUCGUAACAAGGUAACCGUAGGGGAACCUGCGGUUGGAUCACCU